GACGAACGCUGGCGGCGUGCUUAACACAUGCAAGUCGAACGGAAAGGCACUGAUUUUGUGGGGUGAUCGAGUGGCGAUCGGGUGCGUAACAGGUGAGUAUCCUGCCCUAGUCUUUGGGAUAACUUCAGGAAACUGGGGUUAAUAUCAGAUAGGAGCCCCUGCUGCAGGGAGGGGGUUGGAUAGUUUCUGCGGGUGGGGUUGGACGCGCGGGUUAUCGGCUAGUUGGUGGGGUAGUGGCUUACCAAGGCUUUGACGGAUAGCCGGCCUGAGAGGGUGACCGGCCACAUUGGUACUGAGGUACGGCCCAGACGCCUACAGGGGGCAGCAGUGGGGAAUAUUGCACAAUCGGCGGAAGCCUGAGGCAGCGACGCCGCGUGCGGGAUGACGGCCUUCGGGGUGAAAACCGCUUUCGCCUGUGACGAAGCGUGUGUGACGGUAAUGAGUAAAGAAGCACCGGCUAACUACGUG
rnacentral:rRNA from 1 species